UACGUAGGGGGCAAGCGUUGUCCGGAUUUAUUGGGCGUAAAGAGCGUGUAGGCGGCCAUACAGGUCCGUUGUGAAAACUCGAGGCUCAACCUCGAGACGCCGAUGGAAACCCCCUGGCUAGAGUCCGGAAGGGGAGAGUGGAAUUCCUGGUGUAGCGGUGAAAUGCGCAGAUAUCAGGAAGAACACCCGUGGCUAAGGCGGCUCUCUAGUACGGUACUGACGCUGAGACGCGAAAGCGUGGGGAGCGAACAGG
rnacentral:rRNA from 1 species